GUCUGUGAUGCCAUGUCUCGGAUCAUGGAUUCGAAUCCAAAUGUUACUCUGGAACAACUGUGUAACGAAAAAUUCGUCGAACUUGUGAAACAACUGGUUGGAACGUCUGCUCCACCAAAUAUUCAAUUUUUUUUCACCGAUGGGGCAAUACAUAUGUU
rnacentral:ribozyme from 1 species